rnacentral:rRNA from 1 species
GAUGAACGCUAGCGGCAGGCCUAAUACAUGCAAGUCGAACGAUACCAGAGAGCUUGCUUUCUGGGAAAGUGGCGCACGGGUGCGUAACGCGUAUGCAACCUACCUUAAUCAGGGGGAUAGCCUCUCGAAAGAGAGAUUAACACCGCAUAAAAUCACACUUCGGCAUCGAAGAAUGAUCAAAUAUUUAUAGGAUUAAGAUGGGCAUGCGUGACAUUAGCUAGUUGGUGAGGUAACGGCUCACCAUGGCUACGAUGUCCAGGGGAUCUGAGAGGGUGACCGCCCACACUGGGACUGGAACACGGACCAGACUCCUACGGGAGGCAGCAGUAAGGAAUAUUGGUCAAUGGAGGCGACUCUGAACCAGCCAUGCCGCGUGCAGGAAGACGGCCCUAUGGGUUGUAAACUGCUUUUAUACGGGAAUAAACCUCUCUACGUGUAGAGAGUUGAAUGUACUGUAAGAAUAAGGAUCGGCUAACUCCGUGCCAGCCGCCGCCGUAAUAC